GGGAGUGAGUGUGAUCAGUCCCUUAGUCAUCUAGUAUUUAUUUUCUGACCACAGCAUUCACAGUAGUUUAAACAUAUUCCUUCCUCUGCAACUUGUACAUUUUCAGGGAUAAAACAAAUGUUUAAUUAUUAAAAUGGGGAUAAGCACAUAAUUCAAGAUUGCACUGAGUUUUGGCUAUAAGAAGGGGAGUGACUAUUUGGAGGAAGUAUCCUACAUGCAAUUUUACAGAAGAAAGUGCUCUGGAUAGGAGGAAGAAUUCUGUUCUGUAGAAUUAAGACAGCCUGAGUAGAGGUGGUUUGCUUUGAAAAAUAAG
rnacentral:lncRNA from 1 species